rnacentral:rRNA from 1 species
AGGCGGCCCCGUGGACAAAGCAUGACGUUCAGCUGGGAAAGCGUUGGGAGCACACAGGAUUACAUACCCCGGUAGUCCUCGCCGUGAUCGAUGUCGCACUUGGAGGUUGUGCCCUUGAAUUCGUGGCUUCCGGACAUAACGCGAUAAGUCGACUUCCUGGGGAGUAUGGCAGCAAGGUUCAAACUCAAAUGAAUUGACGGGGGCCCGCACAAGCGGUGGAGCAUGUGGUCUAAUUUUAUGCAACGCGAAGAACCUUACCUACUCUUGACAUCCAGAGGCACGGCAGAGAUGCUUUUUGCCUUCGGGAAACGGAGACAGGAAGGCAUGGCUGUCGUCAGCUUGUUUUGUGAAAUGUUGGGUUAAGUCCCGCAACGAGUUCAUCCUUCAUCCUUCGUGGCCAGAGCUUGGGUGGGGACAUCAAAGGAGAUUCCCAGUGAUAAACUGGAGGAAGGUUGGGAUGAGGUCAAGUCAUCAUGGCCGUUAGGAGUAGGGCUACACACGUGUUACAAUGGCAUAUACAAAGAGAAGUGACCUCACGAGAGCAAGCGGACCUCAUAAAGUAUGUCGUAGUCCGGAUUGGAGUCUUCCCCCGACUCCAUGAAGUCGGAAUCGCUAGUAAUGGUAGAUCAGACUGUAGUGAUGAAUAUGUUUCCGGCCGUUGUCCACACCGCCCGUCACAGUCAUGGGAGU